ensembl:lncRNA
GCUAUCAACAAGGUGAACUGUUGUGGAUGAAGAUGAGCUGUUUCCAGCCGUAUUUACACUACCGAACAGUGACGCAGCCAUUCCUGCCUGUUUCUUGUUCUGGGAAGUGCGGAAGGAAUGUUUAUAGAGAGAUUUCAGCCCUAGCGCUUGGAGCAGACAAGGACACACAGCAAAUGCUGGGCUUGUCCUCAUGGCUCCCUCAGCAGAUGAGCGGCAUCAGGCGCCCCUGCAUGGCCCAGCUCAGGAGCUGACGCUAUUCCUCCCCUCUUCUGUGAAGCUGCUCUCUGUGCCCGUGGGCCUCAUCACUAGGUUCCCCUCCUCAUGCCCUCUGUCUGUCCUUCUCUGGCUGCCUGGUUAGCUCAUCUUCCAUCAUCUUGAAAUCCACUAAUCCAACCAGGGAAAAUCUGUCUGGGGCAGAAGAGACAAGCUCCCUCCCACUAGGGGCAGGUGCAUCAGGCCCUGUGCUUUCCCACUCCAAGAGGCCAAGGAGGAAAAGGCCGUUCCAGCAGCAGUUCCAGGCUGGGUGGGCCCCAGUGACUUCCAGCCCCAGCAGGAGGGCCCCCUGGCUGCACUCAGGCAGCUGAGGGAGGUGCCCAUACCACUUUUAAAACUCAGCCCUGGCAAGUUCCAGGAGCAGCCAGAGCCACAAAAGGGUGAAGGCUGCCCACCCUAGAGCAGCAAUCCCAGGAAAAGGUGACAGUGGUGGCCCAGCAGGACAUGGCCUCGACUGUGACCAGAAGAGAAAGAUGCCCCAGGUUCAAGGUGAGAGGCUCGGGCUGUGACAACAGCACUCAAGAGAUCCUUAAGAGCCUCAAUGUGAGAGCUGAGGCCCCAGAUCUAUCACAGUGCUUGACACAUGGAAAAAGCUCAACGAAUAUUUUUUUAAAAAUAAAUAGUACAGAUGAAUGAACAAGGAGAUCUUAUGACCUUAUGGGCAGAGGGCCCGACAGCCAGAAUGCUGGCAGUGCAGGUGACCAGGGACAAAGUCCCGGAAGUCCUGGGAUGAGGGUCUCCAUCCAUGCCCCUCCCGUCUUGGUCCCUGGGGCAGGGCAGCAGGGGGCAGGGCUCAAUACACAGAUAAAGGAUGAAUCACAGUGUUUGUCC